AGGACGAACGCUGGCGGCGUGCCUAACACAUGCAAGUCGAGCGGAGACAUGCGACGGAAGAGAAGUUUCGGAUGGAUCGGAAGAUGUAUGUUUAGCGGCGGACGGGUGAGUAACGCGUGAGCAACCUGUCCUUCACAGGGGGAUAACACAGCGAAAGUUGUACUAAUACCGCAUGAGACCACAGCGGGACAUCCCGCAGGGGUCAAAGGAGCAAUCCGGUGAAGGGUGGGCUCGCGUCCGAUUAGAUAGUUGGUGAGGUAACGGCCCACCAAGUCGACGAUCGGUAGCCGACCUGAGAGGGUGAUCGGCCACAUUGGGACUGAGACACGGCCCAAACUCCUACGGGAGGCAGCAGUGGGGAAUAUUGGGCAAUGGGGGGAACCCUGACCCAGCAACGCCGCGUGAGGGAAGAAGGUUUUCGGAUCGUAAACCUCUGUCCUUGGUGAAGAGAGAGAGACGGUAGCCAAGGAGGAAGCCCCGGCUAACUACGUGCCAGCAGCAGC
rnacentral:rRNA from 1 species